rnacentral:rRNA from 1 species
GCAGGCUGCAACUCGCCUGCAUGAAGUCGGAAUUGCUAGUAAUCGCAGAUCAGCAUGCUGCGGUGAAUACGUUCCCGGGCCUUGUACACACCGCCCGUCACACCAUGGGAGUCGGUAACACCCAAAGUUGGUAGCCUAACCGCAAGGAGGGCGCCGCCUAAGGUGGGAUUGAUGACUGGGGUGAAGUCGUAACAAGGUAUC